UGAGGAAUAUUGGUCAAUGGGCGGGAGCCUGAACCAGCCAUCCCGCGUGCAGGAAGAAUGCCCUAUGGGUUGUAAACUGCUUUUGUGCAUGAAGAACAUCCCGGACGUGUCCGGGACUGACGGUAAUGCGUGAAUAAGCACCGGCUAACUCCGUGCCAGCAGCCGCGGUAAUACGGAGGGUGCAAGCGUUAUCCGGAUUUAUUGGGUUUAAAGGGUGCGUAGGCGGCUGAAUAAGUCAGUGGUGAAAUGCUGCAGCUUAACUGUAGAACUGCCAUUGAAACUGUUUGGCUUGAGUGAUCUUGAGGUAGGCGGAAUGUGUAGUGUAGCGGUGAAAUGCUUAGAUAUUACACAGAACACCGAUUGCGAAGGCAGCUUACUAAGGGUUUACUGACGCUGAUGC
rnacentral:rRNA from 1 species